rnacentral:rRNA from 1 species
UACAGAGGUCUCAAGCGUUGUUCGGAUUCAUUGGGCGUAAAGGGUGCGUAGGCGGCGCGGUAAGUCGGAUGUGAAAUCUCGGAGCUUAACUCCGAAACUGCAUUCGAUACUGCCGUGCUUGAGGACUGGAGAGGAGACUGGAAUUUACGGUGUAGCGGUGAAAUGCGUAGAUAUCGUAAGGAAGACCAGUGGCGAAGGCGGGUCUCUGGACAGUUCCUGACGCUGAGGAGCGAAAGCGUGGGGAGCGAACAGG